rfam:Ixodes scapularis strain Wikel colony gcontig_1107729143350, whole genome shotgun sequence.
UCCUGGUUAGCUAAGUUGCUAAAGUGCUCCACUGAAAAUGGAGAGGUUCCUGGUUCGAUACCAGGAACAUGCA